CACACACACACACACACACACACAGCUGGUGCCGUGUCGAGACGCUGACCCACAACACGCCAAACUCCAUUAGGAAACCUGUCAAUUUAACGCUGCCGUUGACAACGCGGUCUUAUUUUCAAUCAGUAAUUAAGAUGUGACCCGAACUUUGGCCGCGGAUAUGGAUGAUGGUUGAGUCAACUAUAAAGUUUUGGAGUUGAAUUGGUUCCGGUUACAAAAGCCGUUAUUCCCAUAGAUUAAUUUACCGAUUUGCAUGUGGAAGUAAACAUUUUCUACACAAAACUGGUUUGAGUCAGGACUCUGUGUGUGCCGAUUGGAAGAUGGAAACUCCAGAGCCACCGACACGUUCUCCAGCUUCAUCUGCCUGAAGUUGGGCCUCGGGUGGUACUUUCUGUACAUCUUCUUGUGGCUGAGGACCUCCAGCAGGGCGAUGAGCCGCAGGCCGUCGCCCAGGUCCAGCUGCAGGUCCACGAUCCGCUUGUUAACGCACUUCAGGUGCUCGUUGAUCCAGCGGGUGAAGGUGUUCUGCUGGAUCUUCUUCCACGGGGCGUCCUCGGCCAGGUCCUUCUCUGUGGCCGGCAUCUUUAACGGCUCUUCGCGUGGAUGGUCUUCGGAGGCUUCUCGGUUAAGCGUGACAGAGAGCGGCGCUUCGUCUUCCCGCGGUGUCUCCUCGGAGCAGCCCGAAGGUGGUCUGAAGUUUUUCCUGAACCGCACGGAGACUGGCUGGCUGCUGCGGCGUUCAGGUGCUGCUCUGAGAACUCGGACAGUUCAGCGUCGCCGUCUUCUCGUCGGAGGCUUGAUUGACAACGCUGAGGCGUCACUGGCGUUUUACCGCCCCCCCCUGGAUGGAAAUGUUUUUUUCUGUUUUGUAUGUUUUUGGGUUUUUUUGGUGCCAUAUUUUAUUUAUUACAUUUUGUCAGGGAAACAAAAGAAGUCAAGAAAUCAUCUACACAGAGAAACAAUUAUUUUUUAAAAUAGCCGGAAAGCGAGAUUUCUCUAGUUCUGAGGACAAUAAGAGAAACACAAUUCACUACUAAAAAUGCAGUGAAUCAAAAAUGCUCUAAUAUCAAAUUACUUUUCUUUUUCAUGCAGGACAAAUUAUUUUAAUUCUUGUGUAACAGUAUUACGAUAAAAAUGCUUAAUUCUAAGGCAAAUGUAGAUAUUUCAAAGCAACGUUUUGAGAUUUUAAAAUAUUUAAUUAAAAUCUUUUAAAGUUAAAGUGGGAAAAAAGCCUUGAAAGAAUGUGAUCAGAUGGUUGUAUUUAUUGUGUUUUAUCGGUAACGUUUCUUCCUAUACUUUCCAUUAUUUUAUUACAUUUCUUUGUUUGUUUGUUUUUUAAUUGUACUGUAUUUAUUUUAUAAUCUGCUUCUGCUUGGAUUAUUUCCUGUACAGUAGUUUUUGAAAUACUGUUUGGUUACUAAAAGAGAAAAACAAGGAUAAUGUCUGUGAGAAAAACAGAAAAAAAAAAAGGCCAAACAAACAGAUCUAAGAAAAGGAAGGAGAGAGAAAAUAAAGUACACAAAUUCCAAACCGAUCUUUACCCUAAGUCUUUCCACCUUUUCUGGCCCAGUGAGUCUGUUUUUAUAUCACCAGAUUUUCAGAAAUCCUAAAGCUGUUACUGUUAUAUUUAAUCUUCAGGAGGAGCUUUGGCCGCUCCACAACUACAAUGUAGAAAAUGCUGAUAUAUUUCAAACCUACUACAAUACUGCUCAACCAAAAUAUCAAAUAUUAGCCUCAGAAAACUUUCAUGACCCUGUCUGCUUGUAAAGUUUACUCCAGGUGGGGUCCCAGCCCCAAACCCUGAGAAACCGAUGUAAAGUGUGCAGAACCUGUGUGUGAAAUAAACCAGUGAAUACUU